CCUACGGGAGGCUGCAGUAGGGAAUCUUUCACAAUGGGCGAAAGCCUGAUGGAGCAACGCCGCGUGCAGGAUGAAGGCCUUCGGGUUGUAAACUGCUUUUAUAAGCGAGAAAUAUGAUGGUAACUUAUGAAUAAGGAUCGGCUAACUACGUGCCAGCAGCCGCGGUCAUACGUAGGACCCGAGCAUUAUCCGGGGUGACUGUGUGUAAAGAGUUGCGUAGGUGGGAUAAUAAGUAGCUAGGGAAAUCUGGUGGCUCAACCAUUCAGACUAUUAGCUAAACUGUUAAGCUCGAGUGCGUUAGGGGUAACUGGAAUUUCUAGUGUAGGAGUGAAAUGCGUAGAUAUUAGAAGGAACACCAAUGGCGAAGGCAGGUUACUGGUACGUUUCUGACACUGAGGCACGAAAGCGUAGGGAGCAAACGGGAUUAGAUACCCUUGUAGUC
rnacentral:rRNA from 1 species